rnacentral:lncRNA from 1 species
GGCUGUGGUCUCAGGAUGCGACCAGUGUAGACAGUACAGUAAACCGGUGGUCCUAGAGUUCACACUCACCAGGGCAGAAAGGACUGGCGCAGGAGACAUAGUUCUCCACUGUUGGCACGGUUCAGAACAAGUGAGUGGGACGAGGUAGGGACGGAGCAAUGGUACUUCAGGCUGCCCAACGGUGGAAACAGUGGCUGUGGCUGCGGAUGUUGGGGCAUUGGGGAUGGGAGAGUAGGAGGAACUGUAGGGCGGGUCAGUGGGGUUGGGACUGGUGCGGGCAGCAGUGGGUUGCAGGAAUGAUGGCCAACAGUUCCGGAGGAGGGCGUGGGAUUGUGCUGUGGAGGGCUUCCGUGUGAUCUCCAAGCGCCGUGCCUAGUUUGCUGUGGCUUCCGCCCGCCCGCCCCGCCCUGGCCCUGCAAACCUCUCUCUGCGCCUUGAUACCGCAGGGCGCCUUCUGCGGCUGCUGCUGGGGCGGUGGGCGGCCAGGCAGCUGGAGGAGCCCAUGACGAGGACCAGGAUGAGAACGAAGACUGGACCGAGACGCCCCCAGAUCAUGGCGUCUCUGCGGGAACCGACACAUAGACGAAGGACCUUGUAUACAGAGCUAUUUUACAGAAAUUGCGAGUGGCACCAUGGUAUUUCUUGUGGAGCCUCACCCUCUCCUGUGCCCGCGCCCUGUCGUCCUCUCAGUCCCUGGGCAGACAUUCAUAAGACCGUACCUCUAACCCCAUGGUGAAUCUCACCAAA